rnacentral:rRNA from 1 species
UGGGGAAUUUUGGACAAUGGGCGAAAGCCUGAUCCAGCAAUGCCGCGUGUGUGAAGAAGGCCUUCGGGUUGUAAAGCACUUUUGUCCGGAAAGAAAUCCUUGGCUCUAAUACAGUCGGGGGAUGACGGUACCGGAAGAAUAAGCACCGGCUAACUACGUGCCAGCAGCCGCGGUAAUACGUAGGGUGCAAGCGUUAAUCGGAAUUACUGGGCGUAAAGCGUGCGCAGGCGGUUUGCUAAGACCGAUGUGAAAUCCCCGGGCUCAACCUGGGAACUGCAUUGGUGACUGGCAGGCUAGAGUAUGGCAGAGGGGGGUAGAAUUCCACGUGUAGCAGUGAAAUGCGUAGAGAUGUGGAGGAAUACCGAUGGCGAAGGCAGCCCCCUGGGCCAAUACUGACGCUCAUGCACGAAAGCGUGGGGAGCAAACAGGAUUAGAUACCCUGGUAGUCCACGCCCUAAACGAUGUCAACUAGUUGUGGGGAUUCAUUCUUAGUAACGUAGCUAACGCGUGAAGUUGACCGCCUGGGGAGUACGGUCGCAAGAUUAAAACUCAAAGGAAUUGACGGGGUCAUAGCUGUUUCCU